UCUUGUGUUUUGGGCUGUUUUGUGCUCUGAUCCUUCAAGGAAAUAUGAAUUCUGAAACUGUGAGUAACCUUGUUACUACUGGAGUUGGUUCUGAGGCUGCUCCGGUCGAGAUUGAUGAACCUAGUUCGAAAAGGCUGAGACAAGCAACCUCCAAUGUUUGGAAUUUUUUCAAAAAGCUCGGUCCAGAUAAGGAUGGAGUAGAACGUGCUGAGUGUAAAGGAUGCAAGAAAGUGUUUAAAGCUGGAGAGAGUUCUUCCCAACUUUCAAGUAAUUUUUCUCAAGCAACAUCUUCUGCAAUUGGAACUCAGCUUAUUAAAAUUGUUGGUGUAAGUAUUUUUAUCUACUUGAUUAUAUGUAUUUUUUAUUUUUCAUGCUUUUUGAUUCAUAUAUUGUUUGUAAUGCAAAAGAUUUGAUGUCCCGUAAUCAAGAAGUUGAAGUGAAAAGUGGAAAGAACCAACUGGAUAUUUACUUGAGUGAGGCAACAUUAUUUUGCAAUGAUGCAAUCAUUGAUGUUUUGCAAUGGUGGAAAGACAAUCAUCAUCGUUUUCCAACACUA